CAGCCACAUCACAUUGAAACACUGGUUCCUGUAUGAUCACUGAAGUUAAGCAACAUUGAGCCUGGUCAGCACUUAGAUGGAUGACUGCUUGGAAAUACCAGGUGCUGCAAG